AUAUUUUACAAUGGGCGAAAGCCUGAUCCAGCCAUGCCGCGUGGAUGAUGACGGCNCUNNGGUUGNANAGUCCUUUCGACGGGNNNNNUAAUGACGGUANCCGUAGAAGAAGCCCAGGCUCACUUCGUGCAAGAAGCCGCGGUAAUACGAAGGGGGCUAGCUGUGCUAGGAAUCACUGGGCGGAAAGGGCACGUAGGCGGCUUUUUAAGUCAGGGGUGAAAUCCUGGAGCUCAACUCCAGAACUGCCUUUGAUACUGGAGAGCUUGAGUUCGGGAGAGGUGAGUGGAACUGCGAGUGUAGAGGUGAAAUUCGUAGAUAUUCGCAAGAACACCAGUGGCGAAGGCGGCUCACUGGCCCGAUACUGACGCUGAGGUGCGAAAGCGUGGGGAGCAAACAGG
rnacentral:rRNA from 1 species